CUUCCCAACCUUUUCUCCCCACGUAGGACCUCUCCUGCCCAGGCCUGUCUCCUCUUUGUCUCUCCCAGCCUCCAUCCAUCUCUGUCUCCCUGUUUCUCAGUCUCUCCACCUCUGUUUUUGUCUCAUCCUCUGCCUCUCUCUCUCCUGUUUGCCUUUCUUCUCUGUUCUGUUCCAUUGGUCUAUAUCUCUGUUUUGGUACCAGUACCAUGGUGUUUUGGUUACUGUACCCUUGUAGUAUAGCUUGCAGUAAGAUAGGGUGAUGUCUCCCCAGUCCGAACUCUCAGGCCAUUUUAGCACUGUCAGGGGAAAACUGCCUACUCAAGCCUCAGUAAUGGCAGACGCCCCUCCCCCAACCAAGCUCAAUCGUCCCAGGUUGACUUCAGACUGCUGCGCUAUCAGUGAAAAUUUCAAGCCAGUGGUUCUUAGCUUGCUGGGCCUUGUGGGAAUGGAACCCACUGAGCGAGACCACUUUGUUCCCUGGCU
rnacentral:lncRNA from 10 species